UGUACAUACGUACGUACUGUUAGAAACAACGCACCCUGAUGACGCGUGACAUUCGGCACAUGCACAAAGUGUAGUCGCCUCCUUGAACCUCGAAACAUUUUCCAAAAGAUCGUACAGAACACAAGAAGUGCAAGUUCAGUUUGCUUCAAGCUCAACAGGUUACCUACAUCUCGGAGGCCUCCGUAAAGCUCUGUACAACUAUUUAUUCGCUCGGGCAAACCUGGGAAGUUUUGUUCUGCGCAUAGAAGACAGAUCAAACAGGACUUGUACCAGAUGCUACCGGUGAACCCAAAGGGGAUCUAUUUUGGGCUGGAAUCCUCCCGGACAAAGACCUGACAAGCUAUAGUUGAGUUUCGUCAUAUUUCCUCACCUCGCACUCAUUUUUAUUUUCAGGAGAGCAUUGGAUAGUCUCUGAAGCAACGGUGGCACCAUACUCGCAUAGAAAAUACAAGUUAUGCUUUUACUUGUACAUACACAGGUGAACUAUACAAUAUCCUGUACGGUGAUUUAUACAUCCAAUUAUUAUGUUUUCUGAGUGGAUAAUUAUGUAUAAAUAAAUAAUAAUGUAUAUGUCUCGUAUCUUAGAGAACAAGAAGUGAAUAAUUGAAUGUUAAUUAAAAUGAAACUAUCGUCCAUACUCUUGUAACGCAUUAAACAUAAGUAUACAAAAAUGAAUUGAUAUUGUCCAUUGCAAAGUCUCAAUAUGUAUUCUUUACGAUCAAUUUGUUAAUAAAAACUCAUUGUAACCAAAA